CAAUCAACCGCUUUGCAUCUGCAAUAUACGAUUCCCAAUUAAUAAACACAAACCAACAUACAAAACCAAUGCAAUGGCAAUGAAAACGAGCAAGAUACAACAUCAGACUAAAAUAUGAAACUUGAUUAGCUACACCCAUUGCCAACUAAUCUCCUCUGCUUCACAAAUCAGACAAAAGCAAGAGUACAAUACUAAUACAGGUCUUUUUCUUUUCACCAGAGGAUUGCAGAUCCAAGAUCUGCUCCAUCCUCUAAAGUUCAGAUUCAGAUCUCAUCCAUGAGAUCCCACAGUGUUAGUCAUUCGAAUUCAAAACCUUUGGAUUUGAGUGAAAACCAAUUUAAUCACAAAUUUAAAAAAUAAAACAAAUAAACUAUAUAAAAAAAAAUUCUAAAUUAUAGUCCUCAGUUUAUAAAUACUAACCAAAGACGGUGUUG
rnacentral:misc_RNA from 1 species